rnacentral:rRNA from 1 species
GCAACCCUCGCUGUUAGUUGCUACCAGUUUCUGGGCACUCUACCAGGACCGCCGGUGGUAAGCCGGAGGAAGGUGGGGAUGACGUCAAGUCCUCAUGGCCCUUACAGGGUGGGCUACACACGUGCUACAAUGGCGACUACAGAGGGCUGCAUCCCGCGAGGGGAGCAUCUAAAGUCGUCUCAGUCGAUGCACUCUGCACUCGAGUGCAUGAGUGAUCGCUAGUAUCGCGAUCAGAUGCCGCGGUGAAUACGUCCCGGGCUGAACACACCGCCGUC